GAGGACAAAGCAGAGCUAAUUGAACACAAAGUGUUUUUGCAAACAUAAAGCACAUUUCCUUGCAAAACAGACUUCUUUUGAUCAAUGAUGAGACUGAAAGUUUCAAGGUCUCCCGUGUAAGCCAGUUGCACUUCAAUUGAAGGUGGAGUGGAGAUUUGUAUUUAUUUUUUUUUAAAUGACAUUUUUCUGAUUGAGCUCGCAGCCUCAAGCACUUCUCAUCACGGCCGCAAACUUGGUUCUCAUACUUCCCACCAAUGAGUACGAGGGUUCUUUUGAAAAUGUGCGCAGCGCACCACAACACGAUCAUUCCAGAGCGGAAUGGCGCAACCGGGGUGGGUAGGGGUCAGCGGGGGGGGUUCCUGUCCAUUCCCAGACAGCCGUUAUUGAAGCCCAAAUGAUUCGCAGGGGGAGAAACAACAUUCGGACAA